AUUGAACGCUGGCGGCAUGCUUUGCACAUGCAAGUCGAACGGUAACAGGCCGCAAGGUGCUGACGAGUGGCGAACGGGUGAGUAAUGCAUCGGAGCGUGCCCAGUCGUGGGGGAUAACGCAGCGAAAGCUGUGCUAAUACCGCAUACGAGCUAUGGAUGAAAGCGGGGGACAGCAAGGCCUCGCGCGAUAGGAGCGGCCGAUGUCAGAUUAGGGAGUUGGUGGGGUAAAGGCCUACCAAGCCGACGAUCUGUAGCUGGUCUGAGAGGACGACCAGCCACACUGGGACUGAGACACGGCCCAGACUCCUACGGGAGGCAGCAGUGGGGAAUUUUGGACAAUGGGCGCAAGCCUGAUCCAGCAAUGCCGCGUGCAGGAAGAAGGCCUUCGGGUUGUAAACUGCUUUUGUACGGAACGAAACGGUCUGGGUUAAUACCCUGGGCUAAUGACGGUACCGUAAGAAUAAGCACCGGCUAACUACGUGCCAGCAGCCGCAGUAA
rnacentral:rRNA from 1 species